GAGAGAUGGCUGAGUUGGCUUAAGGCGCACGAUUGGAAAUCGUGUGUGCCCCAUAUCUUUGGCACCGAGGGUUCGAAUCCCUCUCUCUCC
rnacentral:tRNA from 1 species